UACAGAGGGGGCAAGCGUUAUUCGGAAUUAUUGGGCGUAAAGGGCGCGUAGGCGGCCUGGCAAGUGGAAGGUGAAAUCCCUCGGCUUAACCGAGGAACUGCCCUCCAAACUGCUUGGCUUGAGUCCGGGAGAGGUGAGUGGAAUUCCCAGUGUAGCGGUGAAAUGCGUAGAUAUCAGGAGGAACACCUGUGGCGAAAGCGGCUCACUGGACCAUAACUGACGCUGAUGCACGAAAGCUAGGGGAGCAAACAGG
rnacentral:rRNA from 1 species